rnacentral:rRNA from 1 species
UUAUCCUUAGUUGCCAGCACGUAAUGGUGGGAACUCUAGGGAGACUGCCGGUGAUAAACCGGAGGAAGGUGGGGACGACGUCAAGUCAUCAUGGCCCUUACGAGUAGGGCUACACACGUGCUACAAUGGUAUGUACAGAGGGAGGCAAGCUGGCGACAGUGAGCGGAUCUCUUAAAGCAUAUCGUAGUCCGGAUCGCAGUCUGCAACUCGACUGCGUGAAGUCGGAAUCGCUAGUAAUCGCAAAUCAGAAUGUUGCGGUGAAUACGUUCCCGGGCCUUGUACACACCGCCCGUCACACCAUGGGAGUGGGUUGCAAAAGAAGUAGGUAGCUUAACCUUCGGGAGGGCGCUUACCACUUUGUGAUUCAUGACUGGGGUGAAGUCGUAACAAGGUAGCCGU